AGUGAACGCUGGCGGUAGGCCUAACACAUGCAAGUCGAACGGCAGCACAGUAAGAGCCUGCUCUUACGGGUGGCGAGUGGCGGACGGGUGAGGAAUGCAUCGGAAUCUACUUUUUCGUGGGGGAUAACGUAGGGAAACUUACGCUAAUACCGCAUACGACCUACGGGUGAAAGCAGGGGAUCUUCGGACCUUGCGCGAUUGAAUGAGCCGAUGUCGGAUUAGCUAGUUGGCGGGGUAAAGGCCCACCAAGGCGACGAUCCGUAGCUGGUCUGAGAGGAUGAUCAGCCACACUGGAACUGAGACACGGUCCAGACUCCUACGGGAGGCAGCAGUGGGGAAUAUUGGACAAUGGGCGCAAGCCUGAUCCAGCCAUACCGCGUGGGUGAAGAAGGCCUUCGGGUUGUAAAGCCCUUUUGUUGGGAAAGAAAAGCAGCAGGUUAAUACCCCGCUGUUCUGACGGUACCCAAAGAAUAAGCACCGGCUAACUUCGUG
rnacentral:rRNA from 1 species